CACGGCCUCCGAACUAGUACUGGAUUGGAGAGCCUAUCAGUAGUAUGCAGAGCCCUUAGACCAGGAAGCGUCAAAGCUGACAUGAAUAUCUACAUCGAGCGGACCAAUAUGACGGCACUGGAGACACAAGAUCUUAUCGGUCUUUCCCUUGAGAGUCUAGCCAAUGAAUCGAAUGGUUUUCUCGAUUCCAACACCAUUUCAGUUCAAGAUAACGCUAUUUGCCAGAAUAUCUCAUGGAUUUCUCCUCGGUUUGAAAGAGUCGAAUUUCCGGUGGGUGAAAACGGAACUUGGGCAAAUUCAACAGGAAUGUGUCCAUUCAACACUACUCAAGCCAAUGAACCCAUUGGACGGGCUCUCUGUAUCGGCGAUGGUAUUACCCAGAGCCAGUGGCAACCCGUGGAUAAUUGCGGCCCAUUUAGAAAUGUCACAGAUAUACUCACCGAAAUUGCCCAGGUUUU